GAUAUAUAUGGAUAAGGGGCUCCUCCGUUGGUGGACGGGGGAGUCCCUUGUUG
rnacentral:ncRNA from 1 species